GGGUUCGGAGAAGCGUCUCCGAAGGGGAACAGAGAGUUGGUCGGGCCGCCAUCU
rnacentral:ncRNA from 12 species